rnacentral:sRNA from 1 species
UGGCGAAGUCUUACUGCUGCUGCUUCGCU